AAAUUGAAGAGUUUGAUCAUGGCUCAGAUUGAACGCUGGCGGCAGGCCUAACACAUGCAAGUCGAACGGUAACAGGAAGCAGCUUGCUGUUUCGCUGACGAGUGGCGGACGGGUGAGUAAUGUCUGGGAAACUGCCUGAUGGAGGGGGAUAACUACUGGAAACGGUAGCUAAUACCGCAUAACGUCGCAAGACCAAAGAGGGGGACCUUCGGGCCUCUUGCCAUCGGAUGUGCCCAGAUGGGAUUAGCUUGUUGGUGGGGUAACGGCUCACCAAGGCGACGAUCCCUAGCUGGUCUGAGAGGAUGACCAGCCACACUGGAACUGAGACACGGUCCAGACUCCUACGGGAGGCAGCAGUGGGGAAUAUUGCACAAUGGGCGCAAGCCUGAUGCAGCCAUGCCGCGUGUAUGAAGAAGGCCUUCGGGUUGUAAAGUACUUUCAGCGGG
rnacentral:rRNA from 1 species